UCACCAUUAAUAUCAUUUUUUUUUUCUCUUUAAGAGAAAAUAAAGUAAAAAGAAGGUUUGCAAAGAUUGGGAUUGUACGAGAACAAGACUAGGAGCUCUUGUCGAAUCAUUAUGUGGAGGGCUCACUUCUCCUAGUCUAGUCUCAGCAAGCAUUGCUCUAAAGGCUGUUGUUGUCAAAGUAAUUAUUAAAAGAGAGAGAGAG
rnacentral:misc_RNA from 1 species